rnacentral:misc_RNA from 1 species
ACUUUUGUAAGGCAAAGUAUUUUUUGUAGGUUUGGUGUACCCAAAGUAAUUAUCACCGAUAAUGGCACUCAGUUUGGAAGCUGCAAAUUCAAAUCUGUCUGCUCAACGUGAGGUAUUAAUCUUUGGUUCGCUUUCACUUACCAUCCUCAAACUAAUGAAAUGAACAAAAGUCACUAAUCGUACCAUUUUGAAUGGUUUGUAGCAGAGGCUAGACAAAGCUAAAUGAAGGCGGCCAAAUGAGUUACCACACGUUUUG